AAAUAAAUUCGUCUUCACUGUCAACCGUAAAUGAAAUCGUGGGGUGUUGUUAUUUAAUUCGCGUGCGGUUUAAAUUUUGUAAACAUUGCGAAAUGUGAUGCUAAAAAUGUGUGUUUAAGUUAACUCAAAUUUUUAUUAUUUUGGAAAGCUUUAGAUGCAAUGUUUUAUAAUAGCUCAUAAUAUUUUCUUCAUAUUUUAUAUUAAAAUUUUUAAUAUUUAUUAUCAUGCGGGUGUGAUAUGACGUGAAUAAUGAAACUAAGUGCUAAACAUGACAACUCCCAAUGAUGAACAGCUGGUCGGAAAUUUGAUUGACUUGACACUUGAUGAAGAUAAAAGUGAUGAAAAACCAUCAGAUUCAUCUAAUAUAGAUCGGAGAGACUCCACAUUUAUCUCCGAAACGUCAGAAACUACUUCAAAUAUUAAUCCGUCCAAACAAAUUGAGAAUAAAGAAUAUUCAAGGCUUUGUGGAUAUUUGAAUAAAUUAGGAAAUCGCGCAAUUUUAAAAACUUUUCGGAAAAGGUGGUUUGUUUUCUCCGAAGAUAAUUGUAAAUUGUAUUACUAUCGAUCUCCCCAAGACCAAGUCCCUCUUGGUGAAAUAGAUAUUUCUCAAGCUACAUUUACUUUCGAAGUGGAUAAUAAAGAACGAACUGGAUUGUUUACUAUAAGCAUUCCUGGUAGAGAUUAUUAUUUAGAGGCAAGUAAUAGACAAACAGCACUCUUUUGGCUCCAAGAAUUACAGAAGUAUAGAAAAGCUCACAGUUUGAGACGUACUAAAUAUAUUACUGAACAGUCAACUAAUUUUGGUGAUUUUAGAGUAAGACCUCAAAGUGGCUUGUUAGCUAAAUUUUCACCAGAUUCCAACAUUUUAGUUAAUGUAGCAGAUGAUCCUCUUAUGCUUCCAGUCGAUUGCCCUAAGGAUGUAAUAGGAGAAAAUUCUGCUCAAAGUAGCAGUAGCCCUUUUGUGACUGCUCAACAAAAAUUAAAUUCAUUUUAUUCUCAAGUAAAACAUUCUGCUAAUUUGGGGAAGAAUGAAAGAUUGACCCCAGAACCAAAUUGUGCUGUUAAAGAAACUAGUCUGCAUCAAGAAAAUUCUUCUCAUUCACCUUCAACUGUUAGAUCAGCAUCUUCUGAUGGUGAUUCUCCAGUUGCUCAAAAAUCUACAAAAAGUUUGUCUGCAUUCAAGUUGAAACUUUCACAGUCAUUUCGUAAAUCUCGUAUUAUAGACGAAGAAAUGGAGGAUUCCACUAUAAGUACAAAAGAUAAUUGCCCUUACUGCAAGCGUCUGAAAAUUAAAAUUGAAGAUUUGGAAGAAGAAGUAUCUAACCUCCGUGAUGAAGUUAUGACUAGUCAAGAAGUUCGAUCAGUUUUGCAGAGGCAAUUAGAUAUUGCAUCCAAAGAGAAAGAGACAUUAGUUCAAUUAUAUCAGUUAAAGGGAUCAGACGUAUCUUUGAACAUGAUCAGUGAAAAAGACCAGCAAAUUGUGAAUCUUAUUCAUGAUGUGCAAGAGCAAAAACAAGAAGUGGAAAAACUUCAAAGACAAAUCUUAGCUUUGAAUUCUGAAGUUACUGAGUUGAAAGCUAAUAAUGAACUUUUCCAAGACAUGCUCAGACAGAAAGAUACCACUAUUGUGAACCUUACUAAUGAGAUUUUUGAAUUGGAGACUGAUAAGCAAGAUAAAGUAAGAGCUGAAAGCCUUUCUGCAGGAACAGAAACUGUGGCUGAACCAAAGGAAACAAUGAGCAUUGAAGAUUUAAAAGAUUCAGUUCAAGCAUUUGAAUUACAAAACAAGUUCCUAAAUCAUGAAAUCUUAGAGUUGAACCAGUUAAGAAGAGAUGCUGAAAAGAGACUUCAAUUGAUUUCUAUGAAAUGCAGUGAAUGGGAAGCACGCAGUUAUCAGAUUCAGAGCAAAUUAUUAUUUCUUUUAAAUGAGCUUAACAAAAGUGGUGGAAAUUUCAACCAGGAAGUCAUUAAUCAACUUUUAGAAGAAGCUACUGGAGAUGGUACAGCUCAUACCAAUAUCCUACCAUCAUGGUCUAGAGAAAAAAUGUAUGAUGAAUUGGGUUUCAACUGGAGGUGGGGUAAAGAAAAUGCUUUAUCUCUAACAGCUACAAACUUCAAACAAAAGUCUGAAGAUCUUACAAACAAAGCAAAGGAUCCAGAAUUGAUUGCUUGGAGAACCAAAUGGGACAAUUUCAUUGUUUGCUUAGGUACAAAAGAAUUACAGAGAUCCCCAGAACUGAAACACUUGGUCCGAAAUGGUAUACCUAAUGAAUACAGAGGGAAAAUAUGGAAAGGAUGUGUUCAUUUAUGGAUAAAAGAUUACAAAUCUCUGUUAGGACCAGAUUAUUAUUCUAGUCUUCUGAAUGCUGAAGAAUAUGUUUCAAGAUUAGAUCCGUCAUCAAAACAGAUUGAACUUGAUUUGUUAAGAACUUUGCCAAAUAAUUGCCACUAUGAAAAUUUGGAUUCAGAUGGUAUCCCUAAAUUGAGAAGAGUUCUGUUAGCUUAUAGUAGACAUGAUCCAGUUGUUGGAUAUUGCCAAGGUUUAAACAGAUUAGCUGCGAUUGCAUUACUUUUUAUGGAUGAAGAAGAUGCUUUUUGGUGUUUAGUGGCAAUCAUUAAAUUUAUCAUGCCAGAUGGCUAUUAUACACGAACUUUAAUCACAUCUCACGUUGAUCAGAAAGUUUUAAAAGACUUGAUGGUUGAUAAACUCCCUCGUCUACAAAGUCAUCUGGAGCAAAAUAAUGUUGAUUUGUCACUAUUCACUUUUAACUGGUUUCUCACAAUAUUUGUGGACAAUGUACCUGUGGAUAUUUAUCUUCGAAUAUGGGAUGUGUUUCUCUAUGAAGGCAGUAAGGUUCUUUUUCGUUAUGCACUGGCAUUUUUCAAGAUGUGUGAAAAUGAAAUCUUACAAAUAAAAGACUAUUUAGCUUUAAAUAAAUACCUCAGAAGUAUAGCUGAACAGUGCACAGAUGUCAAGAAGUUGACUAAUGUCGCUUUCAACGAGCUCAAUCCCUUCCCUCAACGUGUAAUCAAUUCCAAGCGUAGUCAUCAUUUCCAGAUAAUAAGGUGGUUUCUGCCGUCAGCUGUCUUUUACAUUAGCUGACAUAGUUUACAUUUUUGGAAGCACUAAAAGUGAACAAAUUUUCUUCAUAAGGCUCAAUUAGAAGAAUUGGAAAACGAGAAAAGAAAAAGGAAGACCGAUUCUGAAGAAAAAGUAGCAAAAGUUGACUAUAUGAGUGAAGAAGAUUGACUUGUUUGAUAAUUAUUUCUUACAAGGAAAAUUUAAAUGAUAGUAUAAUUAUAAUUUCGAUUAGCACUCAAUUUUAAUGUAUGCACUUUAGAUAAGACACUUAUAUCAAACAUUAUUUUGUUUCAAUAUAGUUCUAAGGCUCGCAUAUACUAUGUACGACUUUAGAACUUCAAAGUACGUGAUUGUUUAAAUUUUCAAUCAUUUAGAAAUUCUGGCAAUCCAUUAUUAGUCUAUCAUCUUUGUAAUUGGUAUGAAAUUCCUUGUAUCUUUGUAGUAGAAGAGAUUUUUUAAAAAAUUGAAGUUAUUCAAAAAUAACAUUGUAUUUGAAACUAAGGGAAACUCGAUUAAGCGAGAAUUAAAUGCUCUUUGCUAAUUUACAAUUAGAUAAACAAUUAUUAAUCUAAUACUUUUGUAAUUUAUUAAGUUUUUAUUGGAAUCUUUCAUACAUAAAAAAUUAUAUCCUUUAAGGUUUUGAUGUAACACUAUACAGAUAGGCAUGAUAAGGAAGUGUGUGAUCUCAUGAAGGAAAUGUAGUUAGAUAAAAGUUAAUUCCAUUCCAUAUUCUUUUAUUGAUUAACAUACUUAUAUUGGAAAGAAAUAACAUUAUAGAUUUUAAUAUUUUUCUAACAGAUAUUUUUGAAAAAAGUUUAUUUUAGUAGUUUUGUUGAUAAUCGCUUUUAACGUACAUUUUAUUUUUGAAUUUUUUAUUAUUUGUAAUUAAGUUUAGCAAAUAAUAAUGUGCCAUAUAUAAAUGGACUUUAUAUAGAUCAUAUUUACAUUCAUACAAUGCCUAGCUGAUGAAUAUAUUUUUAUUAAUAUUCAUUUCUAAUAAAUAAUAAUCCCCCCCCCCAUGAUUUAGGGUUUCAUUGAUUGACAUAAAGUAAGAAAAAAGUAAAAGAAGUAAAGUUCAUUGAUAUAAAAUAGAAAUGUUCAUAAUGGAGCUUAAAGUCACAGCGUUAAAUCAACGGGUAUUGCGUCGCUUAGUAAACAAUACUGCCACUCUCAAUUUUCUAAAUUUUAGAAAAGGAAGAAACUGAAUUUUUCAUAACUAAUAUUUUCAACCUUUUUCCCACCUCAGGCCUUUCAUGUUUAUAACAGAUGUGAGGUAAAAGAAUUAUUUAUAAUUGGUUAUAAAUAUUCAAUAUUUUCUUCCUUUCUUUGUGAAAAAUUUGAGAUAAAUGGUGUUUGUUAAGCAAUGAUACAAUGCUGUAUAGUUUAUUGGGAGCUUAUUUGCGUCUAAUUAUAGAUACUGCUCUUUGCCAUUUUCAUAUUCAGAAUAGUAUUUUUUUAUAAACCUACUGAACUUUCUAUUUCAGUGAAUUUAAAUAAUGAAUAUACCAAUUCUUUUAUAAGUAUAUUGCACUUCCCUGUUCUAUAAAUGAUUUUUAUAGCAAAUCAAGAACUGUAGAUUAAAUAUAUUAAACUGUAUACAGUUUUUUAAAAUUAUAUUGUCAAAUUUGCUUUUAAAUGCCUUCAAGAAGUACUUUGUUUUUGAUUGCAACUUUGUAAUUUUUAUAAUUUGCAUG